AUUUCAUUUCUUCAUUUCCCUUCUUCACGCCAAUUCCGUGAGGAGAGAGAGAGAUGAUUCCAUUUCCAUCUUCUUCACAAAGCUUCAAUUUCCAUGGCAAAUUCCUUCACAUCUCUCAAUUUUAUUCGGGUUUUAAGGUGAAAUUGGGGAAAUCAACUCCAAAAGUCUUCUACGAGGACUAGUAACCCGGUUGAGUUGCAGAUUAGUGUGGACCCCUGUAGCCCAGCGAGCUCUGAACAGAAGGGAAGUACAAGUUGAGGUCUACUCUAUCUUAGAAUAGUUACUCUGGAAGGAGGACUUCCUUAUGUAUUAAGUUUGAUAUUGAUGUUGUAGUUUGAUGUUAUUUUGAGGUUGUAAGUUUAGCCUUAACGUUU